AAACACUCACUCUUGGGAUGUAACAAUUUCAAGUUGUGGACUUGGACUGUGCCGUAGUUGGCUCGUCCUGAAAUGCAUUAGCUUGCGCUUAUUAGAGUGCCUGGCAUUGGUGUGAUAAUUAUCUGCGCCAUCGCCUAAUACCUCUUCCGAAGUGCUGCUCCUAAUCGUCCGAAAGGACAACAUUUCAAA
rnacentral:misc_RNA from 1 species